GACGAACGCUGGCGGCGUGCCUAAUACAUGCAAGUAGAACGCACAGUUUAUACCGUAGCUUGCUACACCAUAGACUGUGAGUUGCGAACGGGUGAGUAACGCGUAGGUAACCUGCCUGGUAGCGGGGGAUAACUAUUGGAAACGAUAGCUAAUACCGCAUAAUAUUGAUUAUUGCAUGAUAAUUGAUUGAAAGAUGCUAUUGCAUCACUACCAGAUGGACCUGCGUUGUAUUAGCUAGUAGGUGAGGUAACGGCUCACCUAGGCGACGAUACAUAGCCGACCUGAGAAGGUGAUCGGCCACACUGGGACUGAGACCCGGCCCAGACUCCUACGGGGGGCAGCAGUAGGGAAUCUUCGGCAAUGGACGAAAGUCUGACCGAGCAACGCCGCGUGAGUGAAGAAGGUUUUCGGAUCGUAAAGCUCUGUUGUAAGAGAAGAACGGGUGUGAGAGUGGAAAGUUCACACUGUGACGGUAUCUUACCAGAAAGGGACGGCUAACUACGUG
rnacentral:rRNA from 1 species